GCGCGUGCUCCCGGAUCCUCGGCAGUGUCCGGCGCCCCCUUCCCUUCGCCAGGCCCGUUUGGCGCCUUCACUCGGGAAGACGUCGGCCAGGACUUUGCGCUUUGGAGACGUCUUACUUCGGCAGCACUCGCACACUGCGAGAUCCGACACGGGCAGCGGGGACCUAGGGAGCCGGGGACGCUGCCUGUCGGGUACGGUUCCGCAGCUACCGCAGCCCCGUGGGCCAUGAGUUCUUCCCAUCAGACUCAUAGAGUUCAAGGCACACUGAAGAUAUGCUUCCAGGGGCUUGCAAUGUGUGUUGUCUUCGAGCUGGCAAAGGAGUCCCUGAUGGAAACAGCACUGUGAAUCUACUGGCUCCUGAUUCGUCCACACCCUAGUUAGCAGGAAACAAGGUUUUCUUUCCCAAUAAGAAUUCCUGCUUCUAUAGCUGCACCAAUAGGGAUCACUUCAUCAGGAGGGAUAGAAUUGAGAAGCUCAACAGCUGGGAAAAGAUCUUUAAUCAGUUGCUGUAGCUUUGGGAUUCGAGAAGACCCUCCACAAAGGACAACCUAGAGAAUAAAAAUAAUUUUCAGUUGUUUA
rnacentral:lncRNA from 1 species